AAAUAACUCAGUAGAGCAUGAGACUCUUAAUCUCAGGGUUGUGGGUUCAAGCCCCACAUGGGGUGAAAUA